rnacentral:lncRNA from 1 species
UUGAAUUGUAAUUUAAUAGAAAGCCAUGCAGUCUCUCAGUGCUUUCCAUUGUGUGAUUAACAUUCUGUAAGGAAUUCCCUUGUGUUUGUCACACAGAAAGCAAAGUUUAGACUUCUGUUCUUCCUUGCGAAAAGAAGGGAAAGAGUAAACAAAGGAAAUCAAUUAUAAAUGUUCCAUUAAUAAGGAUGAAGAUAGAAUAUAUCUGUCACUGGGAAAAACCCUGGCUUGAUUCCCAAGGGACUGGUUGCCUCUCAACAGUUUUGGCUUAGCAAAGGCGUUGGAGCAGGCUAUUCUUGGUCACAUAAAGAGAGGCAGAGCUGGCAGCUCACACACUGUGCAGACUUGAAAUCUCUGCAGUGUGCUCCCUAGCUGGGUCCAGAUGCACUGAUUCUCCAGGCACAGUGAAGGACAUAUUUAUUUGAUCAAGCUUUUGGAGAAAGCUAACACUUUGACAUUCUAUCUUAUCUCUCUCCUAUUUGCCUGGGAAAGCUAUCUGGCCCCACAAAGUACUCUGGAGAAAAAGGAAAAUUAUUGGAUGGUUUCUUCCUGGAAGAAUAGAUGGAACAGAAAUUGAUGGAGUCUGGUAUCACUAAUUUGUAAGUAACAAAAAUACCAACUUUUACAGAAUUCACUGAACUUAAAGCUGGUUCUAUUCAUUUAAAUUGGUACCUAGUACUUGUCACAUUAU